rfam:Medicago truncatula strain A17 chromosome 1, whole genome shotgun sequence.
GUUGGUAAAUGAUGUUAAAAAUUUGUCAUUCUAUAGACUGAUGUUUUGAUGAACAAAAACUCCGCUUAUUAUCUGAUGCCUUC